rnacentral:rRNA from 1 species
AUUGAACGCUGGCGGCAUGCCUUACACAUGCAAGUCGAACGGUAACGCGGGGCAACCUGGCGACGAGUGGCGAACGGGUGAGUAAUGCAUCGGAACGUGCCUGGUAGCGGGGGAUAACUGCUCGAAAGAGCAGCUAAUACCGCAUACGACCUGAGGGUGAAAGGGGGGGAUCGCAAGACCUCUCGCUAUCAGAGCGGCCGAUGUCGGAUUAGCUAGUUGGUGGGGUAAAGGCCCACCAAGGCGACGAUCCGUAGCUGGUCUGAGAGGACGACCAGCCACACUGGGACUGAGACACGGCCCAGACGCCUACGGGAGGCAGCAGUGGGGAAUUGUGGACAAUGGACGCAAGUCUGAUCCAGCCAUGCCGCGUGCGGGAAGAAGGCCUUCGGGUUGUAAACCGCUUUUGUCAGGGAAGAAAUCUUCUGGACUAAUACUCUGGGAGGAUGACGGUACCUGAAGAAUAAGCACCGGCUAACUACGUGCCAGCCGCCGCGGUAAAAC